rnacentral:rRNA from 1 species
AACGUAGGACGCAAGCGUUAUCCGGAGUUACUGGGCGUAAAGCGCGGGCAGGCGGCUCGAAACGUCUGAUGUGAAAUCUCCUCGCUCAACGGGGAGAGGCCAUUGGAAACGGUCGAGCUGGAGGGCAGUAGAGGUAGGCGGAAUUCCGGGUGGGGUGGUGAAAUGCGUAGAGAUCCGGAGGAACACCAGAGGCGAAGGCGGCCUACUGGGCUGCACCUGACGCUGAGCCGCGAAAGCCAGGGGAGCGAACGGG